rnacentral:rRNA from 1 species
GAUGAACGCUGGCGGCGUGCCUAAUACAUGCAAGUCGAGCGAACAGACGAGGAGCUUGCUUCUCUGACGUUAGCGGCGGACGGGUGAGUAACACGUGGAUAACCUACCUAUAAGACUGGGAUAACUUCGGGAAACCGCAGCUAAUACCGGAUAAUAUAUUGAACCGCAUGGUUCAAUAGUGAAAGACGGUUUUGCUGUCACUUAUAGCUGGAUCCGCGCCGCAUUAGCUAGUUGGUAAGGUAACGGCUUACCAAGGCAACGAUGCGUAGCCGACCUGAGAGGGUGAUCGGCCACACUGGAACUGAGACACGGUCCAGACUCCUACGGGAGGCAGCAGUAGGGAAUAUUGCGCAAUGGGCGAAAGCCUGACGGAGCAAUGCCGCGUGAGUGAUGAAGGCCUUCGGAUCGUAAAACCCUGUUAUUAGGGAAGAACAAAUGUGGAAUUAACCAUGGACGUUUUGACGGUACCUAAAGAGAAAGCAACGGCUAACUACGUG